CACUCCUACGGGAGGCAGCAGUGGGGAAUUUUGGACAAUGGGCGAAAGCCUGAUCCAGCAAUGCCGCGUGAGUGAAGAAGGCCUUCGGGUUGUAAAGCUCUUUUGUCAGGGAAGAAACGGUGAAAGCUAAUAUCUUUUGCUAAUGACGGUACCUGAAGAAUAAGCACCGGCUAACUACGUGCCAGCAGCCGCGGUAAUACGUAGGGUGCAAGCGUUAAUCGGAAUUACUGGGCGUAAAGCGUGCGCAGGCGGUUUUGUAAGUCUGAUGUGAAAUCCCCGGGCUCAACCUGGCAAUUGCAUUGGAGACUGCAAGGCUAGAAUCUGGCAGAGGGGGGUAGAAUUCCACGUGUAGCAGUGAAAUGCGUAGAUAUGUGGAGGAACACCGAUGGCGAAGGCAGCCCCCUGGGUCAAGAUUGACGCUCAUGCACGAAAGCGUGGGGAGCAAACAGGAUUAGAUACCCUGGUAGUCCCA
rnacentral:rRNA from 1 species